rnacentral:rRNA from 1 species
GAAGAAAGAGGGAGGAGGGAGGAACACAGGCAAGUCGAACGGAAAGGCCCUGCUUUUGUGGGGUGCUCGAGUGGCGAACGGGUGAGUAACACGUGAGUAACCUGCCCUUGACUUUGGGAUAACUUCAGGAAACUGGGGCUAAUACCGGAUAGGAGCUCCUGCUGCAUGGUGGGGGUUGGAAAGUUUCGGCGGUUGGGGAUGGACUCGCGGCUUAUCAGCUUGUUGGUGGGGUAGUGGCUUACCAAGGCUUGGACGGGUAGCCGGCCUGAGAGGGUGACCGGCCACAUUGGGACUGAGAUACGGCCCAGACUCCUACGGGAGGCAGCAGUGGGGAAUAUUGCACAAUGGGCGGAAGCCUGAUGCAGCAACGCCGCGUGCGGGAUGACGGCCUUCGUUUUGUAAACCGCUUUCGCCUGUGACGAAGCGUGAGUGACGGUAAUGGGUAAAGAAGCACCGGCUAACUACGUG